ACCAGUUCCUAGGUGUACUCAAUGAAACAAGCAAGGCAAGGUAGCACUCCAAUCUACGAGCUACUGCAAAUAGCAUAGCACUCCUUUGCUUUUGAAUCGAAAUAGUAAGUCUAAGCACCCGAACAAAACUCAACGAAACUUAUCGCUUAAGAUCCGCCAAACUCACUCACUAACGUACAAGUAUGAGUAAGCGUCCUGAACAACAAUAAGCUUAGCGCAACGCCUUGCUGAUUGUGAGUCUCAUGCACCCAAAAUUCUAUAAGAGCAUAACUUGGCUAUAAGAGCAUAACUUGGAGACCCAAUAAUAGACUAUUUUGCUUUACGAGGUUCUUUCCUUCUUUCUGGUGUUCCUUGAGACUCAACCUACGCAGGAACAAGUCAUCAAGUGAAAGGACUGGGAACAAGCAACUACUUAGAAAGUGACCUAUUCUUCGCUAUUAGUGAUACUAUUAGUUAUACUAUAUUCUGGAAUUACCUACUAUGCAACUAAACUCGCAUUGCCAAGUCCUGUGUUCAUAGCCGUAGUAAACAAAUUCCAUCAUUCUUUAUAUUGCUCUUGUCGUCUUGGCUGUUGGCUCGGUGCUAAUGGAAGUUUACAAUUAAGUCUACGAUGGAAGUUUCGUUGGGCUUUUCUCUAUCCUAUUAAGAAUCAGAGGUGUUGCAGUUCAGUUGCUUGGCAGGAGUUAGUUCGGCAAGUAAUAGGUAUAUCAGCAGAGUUAGCAUCAGUGUAAUCUUGUCUAGUAUAUGCUUGGUUGACGACAGUUUAUCCACUACAAACAAGAGAAAGCUUUCAAAUAGGCCAUUCUAUUUUCAAAGUCAAGAUGAUAGGCGUAAAGCUGUUAGUUACGAAGCGGGAAUAUCCGUUUUCUCAGAAGCGGGAAGUGGUGUUUCAAAGGGGAGUUCGACUCAAAUCCAACAAGCAGACUAGAAAGAAUGCAAUGACAACUGGAAUGGAUAGAAUUGAACCAGUACUAGUUAAGAUCGAAUCACUGUUGACAAGAACGGAACAGACAAAAGAAAGACUAAAAGUACCCAUCCACAGAGUAGAAUUAUGGUAGCGAGGCUUUACUACUAUUUAGAAGAAUGAGUUGAUGCAUCAGUGAACUAAACUAGAAACUAUAGUACCCGACCCACACCUAAAUUAUGAAAAACCCCAAGCCCCGACUUGUAGCUCAAGCACCGACUUAUAGCUAUAGUACCUCACUCCUAUUAUGAUUUAUUUGAAACGGAUCUAGUCUAUGAGUUAGAGUAUCCCUUUCCCUACUUAGACUCUUUAACUGCUGAACAUGGAUCUGACUCCCCGCUCUCAACACCUUACUAGUUACUGGCAUCCUCGCUUCUUGGCUUGUAAGUCUACUUCUACUUUCUGCAAAUCUUAUAUUCCUAUCUUUUUCUAUUUUUCUUGUUUUUACUUACUUCUAUUCUGUUAUUUGUUAUUUCCUAACUAUACCUUGAACAUUGGAUGAAACUAGAGCACCCAACUAUUAACUAUAGCACCGAACUAUUACUUGCAUUAUUACUGAUUCUAGAAAACAUAUAUCUUGACUCUAACCUGGCAUACACGCCUUAGCCCUCUAGAAAACCUAGUGAUAUUGAACUCAAUUCUGAACAUUCAUAUAUAAUAAACACGGAUUUGGAUCCUGACUUGAAAACGGAAACAGGAACAGCGGAUUCUUCCACGAAUACUUAGAGGAAACAGAGGAAACCCAUACUCAACAACGGAGCAACUUGAUCCAGCGUGAAGUGAGAAACAUCUAGUUGUUUACUUAAUGUCAUUGUGAGAUCAGUAGUGCAUCGAUCGCAGACGAAGGCACGGGCGCAACAGUAGAGCUGUGUAGGGAAACUCGUUCUGAAAGUGGUGUCGCGCAUUCCACCACCCAUUGGCGAAACAACGGGCGACCCGGGCUAUUAUAGCUCAUUCAUAGCAUCGGGCGACUGAACCACACCGGCACAAACAUCAUAGAUAAAAGAAAGAAUAACAAAAGCAGUUUUGUGCUAAAAAAGAGAGAAAAGAAGAGCUGUUUUUCGACUAAAAGAGUGUAGUGGUAGCGAGUUCAUCAGCACAGCACUAGUUGCCUAUGUAGUUGCUAAGGUUCACUUGGCCUGUUCCACUAAAGGGAUAAGAGAGAUUGAUUCAUUUACUGUUUUCCUCUGCGCUAACGGGAGCAGCAAGUGUAGUUCCUGUGUUACCGACGAAAGAAAAGAAAGAUUCUCAGAAGGAGUAUGAGCUGGAUCAUCAGCAGGAGUAGAUAAAUAGUCAAGAAAGUGAGUAGCAGAAUGUCCAAUUCCUGUUAGUUAUGUUGCUUAUUCGUUUCGCAUACUUGUUUCUCUGGCUUGUUCCUUCACUCUCCUUUCUUGGCACUUAACUCAUUAGUGAAACUCAUUAGUGAAGUUGUCAAUUCCAUUAUUUUAGUCAGAAACUCCAUUCUACCAGUCCUUUCACCUGGCCUACCAGUCCUUGAGCUUAACCCUGCCCCCUUAUAGUCAAGAAUUUCAUUGAACCUAUGGAGCACCCGGCUGAUGCUCUUUAUUAUGAUGGAUCUUCCGCUUGGGCCUCCGAUUCCUUACCCGCUCUUGAAACAACUUCUUUAUAAGAUGAUGAAACUGGGUAAGGGACUGCCGCGUAACUGACGUAGUUACUUGGCCGGGUCGGUAUUCCACUCAUUCUACUAGUCGUUGCUUGGCCCUUUGUAGCAGUAGCUUGGCCCUCUUUUCUUCUUCUUUAUUUGCCUCUAUUUUCUUACCAUAGAUGACAUAAAACUCUUUGUGGCUUACUUGGAACUCAAUUCUAUUAUAGAUAGACAGCAGCCGCCCACUACCCUUAUUUCUUCUCUUCUGAUUCCUACCCUUAUUUCUUCUCUUCUGAUUCUCUAUUCUCUGACUUGAUUCUUAUUGGAUUUUCUAUUCUCUGAUAAGUGCUUCCUGUAUCCGCUGGUAAGGAGCAGCUUUCCUAGAAAGAGUCCCGAAGUGCUUAUUCCUGGAAACGUCUAGCCGUUUAUCUAUGUAGUAAAGAAUACUUUUGGAUUUCAUAUCAAAUAGUCUCUUAGAAAACCAACUCCCUUUCCACUCUCUGAACUUUGACUUGCCAUGUCCUUCCUUAUAAUAGAACUGUCCUCUUUUCUUGGGGAAGUGCUGUAUCUGCCAGAAAGCUGCCAUCUUGUCUGAUGUCCUCUUGUUCUUUUCCAAGGAUUGCUUCGAAGGUGGGAGCCGGCUACUGGAUCUUUUAGUGUAGUUAGUAGUCGCCCUUCCCUCGAUUCAUAGACCAUGUCACCCAACUCCAAUUAUCCAAGAAGUGAUUUCGGUUAAAACGCCAUGCGACUUUGAGUAUAUAUGGAUCUUAUUUGAUUCGAAUGGAAAGACGGAGACCAAACCAAAACUCGUAAUAGAACCGGGAGCUUGAAUAAGAGCUCCUCAUAGUGGUAAGAACCUUUUACUAGGAUUGAUUCGGAUCCCGAGGGGCCUCUACAGGCGAAAGCAAAUAGUGAAGUAUAACCUGAUGCUCCGAUCGAAAACGAAUCCGUGGGGCCAUGCCGGGACGACGUCUGGGAUAUUAGUCUUUUGCCUCUUUCUCUUUCUGUCUCUGUUUCUGGUUGGAUUGAUGAGAAAAUAGAAUCCUGGGCCAACUCGAUCCCGAGGAAUGUUACCCUUUGAGCGGGUUCUUUCUGCUGAUCUUUCCUCCGUCGAUAAAAGAUCUUCUGAUAAGACUGACCCCGCAAACUUGUAAUUGAACCACUGAUCUCACAUCUGUAUUUGCUAUCACAUCUGUAUUUGCCCCCGGCACUACUGUUUUGAAUUGGACCCUUGCUCGCCUGUUAAAGAAACCAACUACUGCGGAUGAGACUGCUACAAUUACCUAUUGGUCUAUACCCUGGCUUACUGAAAUUCCUAAACUAUUGACUUGCAACCUAGCUUCUUAGCUGAGUGCGCUAACAUUCCUUUAUCUUAGCCCCAACCAAAAGGGAGUCUGGUAUAAGUAUGAGUUUUCAACGGGAGAGCUCCAAACAAGGAUCGGUAGACUUCACCUAGCAAGCGAGGAUCUUGUUAAAGUCCCUAUUCCGAGUCCAAUUAAGAUUAGGUUCUGUGCUCUUGUUUCAGCAUUGUCAGCAUAGGUGUAUUCUCUAUCCUCUAUUAGUGUUGUUAGUGGAAUACCGGUAGUACUAGCUUACUUCUAGUAGUUGUAGCCAGAGGUAUAGUAGCAAGAGUUAUAUGAGCCAGAGUCGAGGGAGAUAAGAAAGCAGCUUGUUUAGAUGAGCCAUAGGUAUAGGAUUUCAGAGUUUAGGGAUGUAGGAAGAGAGGUAUACCUCAUGAAGUUACUAGUUGCCAGCUGCUUGGCUUGUGGAAUUCCUAUACAAAGAAAGAAACUACUAGCUUGCCCUGUUCGUCAACUCCAAAGUGAGAAUGAAACCAGUGAGUCAAAGAAUGAAGCGAAGCAAGGAGGAAUUAGAUCCAGCAGUUCAAGAUGUUAGGAAGAAAUGACUUAUAAGGACAGUUUCUUAGGUUUAAUGGGAAAUCCAAUUCAAAACGGGGCACAGAUGAGCGGCCCUUAAGUUCCUAUAGCUCACGCGCCUAACUAGGCUUGGUCAUUAGUAGUUGCUUGGCCAUUUGUACUACAGGGCACAGGAAUACUUGUUUAGUCGUAGCUUGGCGGGAGUCCACGGAAACAGCUUCCUUACCUGCGCCAACUCAGGAUCUAGAUCUUUUCCACUCACUCGCUUCCCGCUUCUAAGCCCUUACGUGCACAGCCUCUGAUCCUUAUCCUUACUUUUCAUCAUCUACUAUUGGCUCUUCAUCACUUCUUAUUGCUGGCUCUUAAGCUCUUCUUAUUGCUGGCUCUUAAGCUCUUCUUAUUGCUUACCUUGGACAUAUCGUAUCGUCCGAAUUCUUUCAAUCCUACCCGGACAAGGAAGGAAUAAAGGCAAGGAGCUGAGAGCCUUUCAUGAAAAACAAGACCUUACCAGCUUGACCUAAUAGAGCGGGCAACUCGCUAGCUUCUUUUCUUGCGGAAUUUCUUAGUAACUGAAUUCGAAAGUGCAUCUCUGAAUCUUCCUAGCAUACCAAAAUGAACCGAAAGGAAAUCCGCUAUUGAACAACAUAUUCCGGCCGGCCCUCGUAGCUCUCUCUUUCUCUGUAGCAAUAUGGAUUAUGCCCUUCGUCUCAUAUAUUCUUUUUUAUGAAUAGAAGGAGAUUGUGAAUCAGUUGAAUUAGGUUUCGUAAAGUCAAGAUUGACCUUCUUUUUGAUACAGAAGAAGCUGUGAUCACUAUACUACAUUCUGGUUCUAGACCAAUAGAAUCAAAGAAACUGCUCUUUUUCACGCUACUUCGCAGCUAAUUCAUUCAUCCACAUCUGUAUCGCCUGCGAAUCCUUUUUCCAGCAAAGAGAAACACUUCUAGGCAUCAAUGCUAUAACUCCUGGCAAGAUCCGAGACGAUUCCAUUGACUUCAUUCUAACAGACUAUUUUGGGCAUAUCGCUCUACUGGACUUCUUCUUCCUAAGAUCAGUAGGCUUUACAAGGAUGCUCGUUUUUCUACAUGGGAGUACAUCCAAUAGGAAGCUUACACACACAUAGACUAGCCACACAACUAAACACAACAUUACAAAGUGAACUAACAACAUCUUAAGUUAACAAAAGACAUAGAACAUCAUGAAACAUAAGAAAGAAAAGCCAUGCAUUAAAACACACUACUUUGCUAAGACGGAAUACUUAUGGAAAUCUUAUGGAAAGAGUCGACGGACUGACUCUUCUAGUCUCCCUAGUGGAUCGGUGACCUAGGGUGACAGCCCGCACAAUGAGCGCUUGCUGUUCUGUAUUUGGUUUUGUAGAGAUAAAGCGCAUAUAAUCUUAUAUGAGAAUUCUCUCUAUAGCUGGGAAAUGUUCCCAGACCCAGCCUUUGCUCGCAUUUGAGCUUAUCGUUUUAUACCUUACUGAUUGAUUGCUCAAGGCUUUCCCGUCAGUUCGAGAUAUCCAUGUCUACUCAGACCCUAACUCUUGCUUUCCUCGCCUGAAGUCUUUAUCUCACCCUAACUCUUGCUUUCCUCGCCUGAAGUCUUUAUAUCUUUGCCUUGAGUCUACCGCGGCUAACUCGAAUACUGUUACAGCUGUCAGUAAGUCUGCCACUGCUGUCCCUAUUUCUUUAGCUACUGCCAAUAAUCAAAGAACUACUCAUUUUCAUGCUUUAUCCUAUGAUAGGGAAUCGAGCUGAGUAGACCAAGGCGGAAUAAGCCCACAAAGCUACUUAGGGUAAUCCAACUAAAUAUGUAUUUCCACCUAUUAUUUUCUAUGACUUGCUUUGAGUCUACCGAUACUAACCAGCAACCCUUACUGGCCUAUAAGCCCGCCCUUGCUUGAAACCUAUGCCCACCGAUCCUAAUUCCUAUUCUCUUGUGUUAGCCCGCUACUCCUUGAUCGAAAUCUGAUUUGACUGACCUUAAAGCUGUCUUUACUUCUUUUCAUUAUGAAAUUAGGUAGUUAGUGUUCUUCUAAGAAUGCAACCAUAAUGCAACCAUUAAUGAACUUCUCUUAUAUUAACAGUCGUUUUUCGAGUCUCCUUACUUCAUUUCAGUCGUUUUCAUAGUCUCCUUACUUAUUUAGUAGAAUACCUCAAUAUUGCACUACAGAAUUGACACCACAGCCAACAAUAUGGAACUAGUACCGGGAAGAAUCUAACCCGGGGCUAAGAGACUUUAACAACUACCUAGAAGACUUGACACAGCUUACUGGGAAUUCACUAUAACCUGAGAAUACUUUUACUUGGAAACUUUGAACUCGGGCUGAAACACUGACAUAUAGGAUCAUACUUGCAUCCCGUCUUCUAGCCUUACAUUACUUAUCUCGUUCUUUAACAGCUUACCUGGCAUUUCCGAUCUCAAAACUCCUUAGCUCUUGGUUGAGUAUGCCAAUCCCGGAAUUCUGAAACUAGUAAUAGCAAGACCUAUACAGCUACUUAUCAUAUAGAUACUCAAAACAAAGAAACCAACUACCACUUGAAAACUAGAAACUUGGAAUACGAACACCGGGGCAGCUAGCCUUAUUUGACUAUCCUCUGAGCCUUGCCUUAUUGUAUAUAAGAGUAGAGCUGGGGCUAAAAAGACCUUCCCUAACUGCGGAAUAGGAAGAACACCAAUACUACUAAGAAUAGAAUCUGGUCCCUUAGCUCGUUGUUGGCAUGCAAGAACCGAACCCAUGCAAAUAAUAAUUGAAACCCGUGCUCAUAAUAAUGGAAAUAGGAACAAGGACAAAAGGGAUACAAGCGCUGAUAACAAGGCUUUUUCACUAUUUCAAAGAGUGUAGCGGUAUUCCAAUAAACUAACCAUCUUGACUACCCCUACGCGCUUUAAGUCUCCUAUUACCUCCUUCUUCCCUGGCUAUUGGUAUUACUGCCCUAACUUCCUGUUUGGUAUUUGUCCCUGGCAGCCUUGCUUUUGGCCUGUAACUAACUUAUACCAUUAGUAAACUACAUUACUUUAAGUCUAUAACUAACUAACUCAACCGUAACUACUACUUACUAGGACCGAUUGCUAGCCUAUCUUUGCUUUCUCCUAAACUUAUACUGCUAUCGAUAAGAAUUUGAACUAGCGCACUAAGAGUGGAGAGAGACGCGCCCAAACAUAUAAGCAUUGAUUGAGACAACAGGUGAUCUAACUAUUACUACUAGCGGAAUGAAACAAAGAGGUAAGAUUGACUACCUACCUUAUAAGACUUAACUGCGCGUGUGAGGUCCGGAACUCCACUCCAUUCUACUAUAGAACCAACGUUAGCCGAAAACCGCAAGCAUUAUAUAGCAUCAACAGCUUUCAGGAACGAGCUCCUUUACCACACUCAGUAGACUCGGGAUCAUGUUGGGCACCUUCUCGGAUGUCGCCCUUGGAACUUACAGAACCAAGAUUUCUCAAUUCUAUCAAUACCAUCAACAAGCAAGUGAUAGAGAGAUGAGUCAGGAAGCUAUGCUCUGUAACAUUCAAUACCAUAAAAAAGCAAGUGCAAGAUAGAUGAGUUUAGAAGCCAAAGGGAAGCAGUGUGUUUCCUUUCUUAUAUGAGUGAGAUGCCCAUUAGUCCAAAAUCCAUUACUGAGUAUGGGGGGCGCUAACAUAGUUUUACGGAAGGGAUACAGUGCAGAGUAUAGAACAAGUCAUUAUGGAAUCUUAGGAGUAACUCGUUAAUGGGAGCUCUGCGCUCGCAAGUCCUGUUGCUUGUGUCCAAGGGUUUUCUAUCAACCAGUUUAGCCUUAGCGAGUUUAGCAUAAUAUAAGUCAGAGAAAUUCAUUAUUGGAAGUAUUUGUAGCUUCAGCGUUAGCGUUAAGUAUUUCCAGUUUUCAGUGAGUUUACAACCGAGUCUAGUAUCCUUGGCAAAGAUGCAUCUAAAGGACAUAGGCAUUAGGCACCCGCCCCGAACUCUAUUACAAGGGAAAGGAAAGGCAGACAAGCAACUACGAAUUGAGUAAAGACACAGUCGUUCUUUUUCCUCAGUUAGGUCUUCCCCUUGUUUCUAUCCUUAAUAAUAGUGGAAUCCAUAACACUUACGCUGCUUCUUGUUGAAAGGUAGUCCAAUUCCGAUUCUUUAGAGGCAGACUCAGAACUCGGCCGCUAACACUUCUUGUUGUUGUUGCGGGAUAAGGUUAGGCAGAUAAGAAUAAGAGGGAAGAGGCGGGGUGUAAUAGAAUAAGUCACUAACCACUCCUGGGACGGAUGCGGAUUCUAGACUUGUAAUAACCAUGCGCUUGUUGCUAACGCCAUAAAGACAGGACUCGUGGAGCCUAUAAUACCGACAGACACAUUAUUCUUUUGUGCCUCUUCUUGCCUAGUAGACCCCUUACCCUCGCUGAUCACUUAGUCUUGGUGGAGUCCCGAGUCAACCCUUGACUUAUUAGUAGAAUUCUGACGAUCACCUAAAUUCUUAAAGGAAAGGAAGGAGUCACUAACUUGUCUAUAAGGGCAAGCCGACAAGCUACUCUGUUACUUACUUGUUCCAUUCUGAUAUCUCUAUCUCUAUAUGCCCUAUUGUGGUAAGUAAACUAUAUGUAUUAUGACCCUAGUUGUUUUCUUAUCGGCUUCGGCGGAUUCUCUUGUGAAACAGCUGAUUCCCUUUCGGAUUCCCCUUGAAAACAGUACUUGAAGACAACAAUAAGCACUUACCGGUGAAGAAAGAUAUUAUCACUGCAAAAGCUAAUGCUGCCCUUAAGUAAUUGGUCGCUACUUACUACUAAGCUUUCCCCGAGUAUCAAUGAGUGUUUCCCCAUAAGAAAGAGGAGUUGACCCGAGUUAGAGAUUGUGCCCUUUUUACUGGGAAAGAAGCCUUAUUGAAGCGCGUAAGCUUAAAUGACUAUAGUUAGUGGCGGGCGUGAGCUUUGAAAAGAAGAUAUGGUUCCACCUUUCUGAAUAUAGAACUUUCAUAUAGAACAAAUUAUUGUGUAAGUAUAGCAAAGGUGCGUGCUCGGCUUUCCCUUGUAGUGGUCCAAGCAUCAAAGUGAAGUGAGGAUGCGGUCGCUCUUUCUGUCGUAUAACAAAGAAUGCGACGCCCACUAUGCGCUUAAGGGCAUAAGAUAGUCAAGGCAAGUAAGCUAUAAGUCCUUCUUGUAUUUCUGCAGUAUAAUCAUAUAAGGGAGUUUAGUAUAGAAUUAAGUAAUAUUCCUAGUCAUAAGUUCGAGUUGACGACUUGUUCUUUCUGGAAACUCGUAUUCCGUACUUACCUUACCAUCACCAACAAACACUAGUCCUGCAACAGAUCCGUCACCUGAUCAGAAAACAAACUUAGUAUGAUCUUUAUCUUGUUUCUGCGCCCCAACUUCUUAUCCUUAUUUUGAUUCCUCGACCCGACCUCUCUAUACUGGAGGAAUUGUUUGCUCACUGGCUUUUAACAACACCGCUACUAGUUGGGGAUUCUGAAAGAUCUGAUAUCGUAGCCAACACAGAGGAAACUCGAACAGCUUCUAUAUACGCCAACUAAGGUAAAGUUCACAAAAAAGAAUAGCAUACGCCCUAACUAAGGUAAAGUUCCAAAAAAGAAGAGUUGCUGGGCUGGGCGCUAUCACUACAAAGGAAAGUGCCAAUCAAUCACCUAAACCUACUCUCCACUUAGUACGAGCACCCAAAGCAAAGAGACGAAUAUGAAAUGGGGGGAUGCAGAACGAGUAUGAAGUACAGAGCAGAUGCGCGAUUCCCUUGCUGGUUCCUAAGCUAGUUUCCUAGGCCUAUCAAAAUCAAGGUUAGGUGAAGACAUAAAGGGCGAGAUGAGAUCUACUAGAAACUUUUGCUUGAUACAACACCGAGAUACAGAUAUGAUUCUGCAAGAAAAGAACUACAUGAAACCCACUCAUCGGCUCUUUUAAUGCAUUUUUCCGAACAUAUUUAUGUGCUCCAGAGUUGUAAGUGCGUAUAAGAGUUGUAAGUGCGUAUAUAAGUCUGGACUUGAAUGACCAAGCAGACGCCAAGUCACUACUAGACGCCAGACAAGGAACUACUAACCGCCUUUUCCCUCGGUUCACGACCUGAGUGGACAAAGAAGACCAUUGAUUGACUAUUGUUUAUCGAGAAAGAAAUGUAUGCACGCUGAGAUCCCCGUAAGCUUGUGAAGCACUGAAUGAUACUCUUAGUUAGAUGGAAUUUCAUCCACUCGAGGGGGAUAAUUUCAUUGUAUACAAUAAGCUUGAUGCCUGAGAAAUAGCAAGGAGCUAGUCCUUUUGGCUAUGCCUUUUUCUUUCUUCGUCCAGAAGUUCCUGGUUUUGCAAAGCCUGCUGUCAUUUGAGCUGCUCCUACGCCCUAAGUCAAAGAAAAGAGAGAGGAGAGAGAGGUACCGACGCAAGACGGGCAGACCUCAAAGGAUCCUCCAGAGGGAACAGAAUUGUUUCAUAGAAGAUACUUACUGACAUCUCAAGGAAUGAAUGGAAGAGAGCUGCGGUAGGAAUGAAUGGAAGAGAGUAAGGUGGCAUGUGGGAAGAGAGUAAGGUGGCAUGUGUUGUUAAUCCAUUUUGGCAGGAUGUAUAUUAGAAUGAAAUGCAGUUUAGAGUUAGCUGUUAACAAUCAGAUCUUAUAGGCGCUAAGAGAAGAGAGAGAAAAAGCAACGAAAAAGAGAAUGAAAGUAUAGCGUUAGUGAGUGGAGCCUAAGGAACUAUACGACAACGACAAUAAGAAUGAGACUCGGUAACAAAGCUAAACAAGCACCUCGAAACAAUAAGAGGAGAUUCGGUAACAAAGCGAAACUCAAAGAACUCCGCGAAACUAGAAGAAUUAGAUUCGGUAACAAAGCGAAACUCAAAGAACUCCGAAACUAGAAGUUGAUACAUGCGCGCCCUUACCCCGGAGAGUAAUAUGUGAAUAAGCAGGUUGUUUAUACAAUUCGAUAACAGGUGCAUUCAAUUCAAGUUGACAGAGCACUCGCCUGUCCUUUGUUGCGCUCCAAGUUAAGUCUAAAGUAGAGUUGCCUGUUGCAAGAGAAGUCAGAGAGUCGCCUGUUGCAAGAGAAGUAAGAAGUAGAGUAUAAAGUAUGGUUUUUCAACCUCUUGUUAGUGCUGGAUAAGUCUCGUAUUAAGUAUGGUUUUUCAACCUCUUGUUAAUGCAAGAGAUAUGGAGUAUAAAGUGGAGUAGCCUCUGGAGUAAGUAAUAGAAAGGGUGCCUCAUCAAUUCAAUGGUUAGGGAAAGGAAGAACUUAGUUUUGAAGCAAAAGGGCAUUGAACUCGCUAACGCUAAAAACAGGAUUGGAUUCUUCCCUUCUGCCCUGAACCAACAAGCAAGUAAGUCAACCACAAUAACUAGUAUGUAAACCAGCCUAUCUCUUAACUAGGCAAAACUACACCCCUCAACUUACAAAUAAGGGCACAAGAACAGAAAUGGAGCCAAACAUCUUUAACAAGAACAUCUGGAUCUGCCCUUGACUAUUAUAAUUGGGAAAGUGAACUACUCUUAAAGUCGAGCCUCUCUCUACUCUGGCAACAAUGCAUUUCACCCUGCUUGCGUCUACUGAUCUGGUUGACUUCACUCUAACUGCUGCUGACAGUAGUCUCCACUCAAUGUAACAACUGCCAAUUAAGUACUAUGGCCCAAUUCUAUGAUACCCUCGGGCUCUCAUUAAACUCUGGCAACAAAAACUAUGUCUCUCAAAAUGAAAUGAAAUCAUGCUUUCUUGCUCUAGCAGGGUUUCUUGCUCUAGCCCUUCAUUCCUAUACCAGUAGCUUGCCCCCUUGUUUCAUCUUAUUCUUCUAAAGAUAAAGAAGUUGUUUCAAGAGCAGGUGAGGAAAGGAGAGUUCUGGUUUUGUCUCCGAGAUCAUCAGCAGUAUCAAGUUGAGUUCUUGUAGAGGUGGUAAAAAGGAAUCAGAAUAAUCUUAAGAAUCAGAAGAAGCUAUUCGAAAGGAAGCAGCAAGUAGAGAGUCAGAAAAACUUAGAAGCGAUAUGUGCACUUCCACCAGCGCAGGAGCAAGCCAAUCACCUUAACCUGACCUUCGAACUAAUCCGGAUCUAUCUUAUAAUCUAGAACUACACUUUCCUUCUUAACCGAAAGAUGAAACUACAACCGACCCCGACUCUCAUUGCAAAGCAUCUUAGUCUGCUGGAACUUGGGAACUUGCUUCAAAACUCACUCCUAGCACCCAGAAACUAGAAAGUCAGAAAAGAAUGCAACUGUUAACUUACAUAGAAGAGAGUAACCAACUAGAGCAUGAAAGUAGACAAGCAACAGUACUAGAGCAACAAACCCAGGGAUCGGAGCGCCUUCGCCCCGCAUCUAAGAGAGAAGUUGACUUAACGCCCAAACUCACGUAUCAAAUGAAAUGAGAAUAACUAUUGUACUUUUUAGAUAAAAAGAGAAUAACGAGAGCUGCUUUUGGCUCUAAUUACACUAAGCAAAAAAUCAGUGGAAUUACUAUAAUCAAACUACUGGCUCUGCUCUAACUGCUGACCUUGCCUCUCGCUUCCCUUUCUUCUUAUUAAGUACACUGCUUCCCUUGAUGGACGCACACAGGACGUUGUUCACUACUACUGCCCAUUCGGUUCCUAUAACUUCAUUCUUAAACCACAUAGCAAGUAGGCUAGCCACUACUGAAAAGCAGAAUUGCAUCGGUUUCAAGAUCUGACUUAGUUUCAAGAGCAGAUAGAUGCCGAAGCGGGAAUAUCCGUUUUCUCAGAAGCAACAACUGGUGGAUCUGGCCCAGCUAUAACAGCUUACCUUUGACUUGCCCCAACACAUUCCCCAUCUUGCUCUGCCCCCCCCAACGAAAGGCUGUUGAAAUUCAUUCAUUAUUAAUAACAUUUUCUUUGACCGGGAUGCACUAUCUUAAACAAGCAAGCAAAGAAUAUCCUUCCCAUCUUGCUACCAAUAUAGGUGCGGAAACUUCACUGCUUACGGAAACUCACGUUAGAGCACUUGUUCGAACUUAACUUUAAGCGCGUCACUAAUGGAAUUCGCUAACGCCGAAAACGGUUAACUUGCUUAUUUAUUACUGUUACUAAUGCCGACUCAGAUAGGAAUUCGACUAACUUGCUUGCUGAACUCACCAACUAGAAAUAUUUCCAGCGCCGAGGAAAACUAAGCUCAGAAUUAAUUGAACAUUGAUUACUGAUGUGCAUAUAAUAGAUGAAUGUCAUAAAGCUGCUCAUCUCGCAGAUAAUAGAUAUGAAUGUUACAGCUGCAUUGCUUCCUUUCCUUUUUUUAGCACCCCGAGAAUCAUCCAACGCACCAUUCACUAACGCCAGGUUGCUUCUCUUGGCGCCGCUCCAUGCUUUCCCUUAACCUUUUCAUGUUCAAUAUUACUGGGAAAUCCAAAGUAUUAGUAUUUGGGGAUCUAUUUUCUUAUUGUUUCAGGAGCACAAGCAACGUUGUUCCUAAGUGCUUGUUGAGUUCUUUAGUUCGCUAACGCUAUUCAUUGUUUCAGGGGCGAUAUAACUAUUUAUUGUGUUUCAGGGUGCUGAUCUGAUAUGAUUAACUUAAAUGCUCUCUUUUGAAAAUCCAUAAAUGUAUUUGGAUUCUAUUAGUGUAGUUGUUAGUCUCAACAAUUCUUUUCUUUUGAGUAGAGGAGAGAGAGCGGCUUAUUAGUUAGUGGUGAUUUGAAGUUUCGUAGUGUUGUUACUUUCAUUAUAUCACAUAGGCCAGAUAGGCUCAAAAGAGAGGUUUUCCCUAGUUCAACAAGUCAACUGUGAGUAAGCUGUGUUGUUAUUGAAUUCUAUCAUAUGCCAAAGAUAGGCUAAAGAAAGAGGCAUGUAUGCUUUCUUCCCCUAAUGCCAGAUAACAAAGAGGUUUUCCCUAGUUACGAAGAUAGCUCCAUUCUAUUAAUUAAAGCAAGGGAACCAUCAAGACGUUCUUCAAGUUUUGUUUAAGUGCUCUAGUAUUAGUAUAGUGAACUUUGGAACUCACUACAACUGUUGCUACUAGAUUAUUGCCCCAACUCAACCAACUUUCUUUCAACCUACCUAAGAGCUGACAGUUUCGAUUCUUGCGCCGAGCUAUCAUAGCAUAUAAGAUCUUAUUCAUAUUAAAAGUAUCUGAAAAACCCCUAUAGAUAUAUUAUUAGCUUUUGCCGACCCCUUCUGGAAGUGAGGAACCUUGUUUGUUUGGCACUGCGGAUUCAGCCAUACUUUCCCCUUUACUAGUUUGAUUACGGACUUCUUCUUCCCAACAUAGCUAGUUAUUAGUAAGUGUCGCUACACCUUUUCUAGUUCGGGGGCUUAAUGAUGGAUUUGCCAUAAGAGUCAUAUUGAACAUAGGCAUACGGGUUUAAGCGAUGCAAAAAGGCAACUAUCGGGAGGGGGUGCUUGAACGCCGUUACCUCCAACACUUGCUCACUCUGUUACUCCUUACUAAACCACUCCAGUUAGCACCGAACUUAUCUAAUGACCCUAAAUUCUAUACUCAAUCAACUUGUUCUGCUUUUGUCGUCGCUUGCUGCUUCCUUUCGAACUCUACAAACUCAGACUUGUUCCAUUGCUUCCUCACUCCUAACUCUAAACGGGAAUCUAUCAGCUAGGCAACCCCUAUCCCUAUUUCAAAGAACAUGCGAUUUGUGCACCGCUAUCCAUCCCCACUUAAGAACUCAGCUCAGCUAGGCACCGCUAUCCAUAACAAACUUAAUGAAAACUGUUCAAUUCCAAAUAACAACUAUCCAUAACUAACAACACUGUGAAACUACAAUUCACCACUAAUGAACUCCGAACCAUAAGCCUUUGUUAGCGCCAUGGCCCUGAGACGAGACUGACUCCUUAUUUGAAACAACGAUCAGCAACCGGCAGUGCUGUAAUGUAAAGUAAAGGAUAGGACUAACCAAUGGACAACAUCCUAUUUUGGAACAUCUUGAAGCUAAUUUCUAACACGAGUUUUGUUUUGUUUAUAAAGCCUAAGUCAGCAGGGCAGUAAGCAGUUUCGUUUUGUUGGAUGGAGCAUAGAGAGCAAGUAAUGGCGAAAGCCUAAGUAAGUGCUUAGGGGAGUGAAGUUACUACAGUCAGGUUACUCCUCUGCCUAAGGGCUAAUGCGAGUUACUACAGUCAGGUUACUAUCCUUUUUCUACAAAUAAGUUAUGUGCACUAGAUUCAACAAGCGAAUUCUACAGUUAUAUGCUCUUAUAGAGAGAUAGAAUAGAUGAUUAAUAUGACCCUAACAGUUGUUGCAAGAGAAGCUGUAUCCGGUUUAGUAGAAAGUAUUGUAUCGGGGGCAAGCUACGUAUAGACUGAACCCUGACUUAAGGCAGAAGCGGAAGAACCACUUACUGCUUAUUGAAGUGAAAGAACCACUAGAAUCAUUAAGUCCAAUAGCAUCAACUAAGGACUCAACAAUAGCUCCGUAAGCGCCAAGCACCAUUUCAUUCGAAUAAGUAAAGACUCUCGUAGCUCUGGAGACAAUAUAGCCUUCCAGUGACGGAGCAAGCAAUCCGAUAAGAUAAGGAAGGGAUAAGGCAACAAGCAACGUGAAACUCGGCUGAAACUGCAAGUCAAACAAACAGAAUUGCAUUUCAUGUUGACCCGCUUGUAGCUUACUUUGGCACCUCUGAUUCUUGAGUGAACUUUCCUGCCUCAGAUCCAUACUGGGAAUCUAUUUCUGAUUCUCGAAUUACUUAUGUUAUUGCAGCUGACUUACUUGCGCACUAAACAUCACUUUAGGAACCUGAACCACUACUUUAAGCGUUGUACCCGGCUUCCUUACCUGCUCUUAAAACUUCCACUAAUGAUUCAUUCCCAUCGCCAAUACUAAGGGGCUGGAAACCAAACUAGUAACUACUAAACUAGCAACUACUUAAGACUUUACCACAAGACAUAAUUGACUACUUGCUGAAUGAGGCUCAUCUAACUCAGGAGUCAAAGAAAGGCCAAGCAAAGGCGCGCCAAGCAACGACUAACUCUUUCACUCCUUUACUAAUUUACUUACCUCAAAACAGCUAAUGAAUUAAGUCUGACUCUUAUCCUUCUUUCUCUUACUCUUAUCCUUCUCCAGCUUCUAAGUAAUACUCUUAUCCUUCUCAUCCUUCUGAUGAUACUUAUCCAGUUUGCUUCUUCAAUGGGCACCGAGUCUGGGCCAGAUCUAGCUUAUGAUCUUUAUUCAGCUGAUUACUUUAUAACAGGCAAUUAUCCAAGUUCACCUUCCGGAAAAGAAUUCAUUGAUUAUUGAGCACCGGGCUCCUGCCGUUUUGAACUAUCUACCGCCGAACACAGGACUUUACAUAACAUGCCGCAAGCUAUUACCAUCGCUCGAAAUUAGGACUCCAUAACUGAACCUCUAUCGUCACCAACACAGGCACCCGCCAAUACUAGGCUAAACGGGACCCAUACGAGGCACCCCAGUGGACGCAACUUAGUAUUCAACCACAGGCGCUCCCCCAAUAGGCACAACUCAGUACUUAAUGUUGCUUCUCUCUUGAUAGUCUUCAUCCCUUAGUUUCAUCCGUUCUCCUAUAAUAUAAUAUAAUAGAAAUAGAUAGGGACCAAGCGUAUACUAGUUGUUGAGUCAAGUCAAACUCUAUUUAGAAUCUAUUUUAGGAAUAGCCCCCUUAUAUAAGUAUUGAAUAGAGGCACCCUUUGUUGAACAAAUCUCUCCCCUCAUAGUCGUUUUUAUAAGUAAGAGUUGACCUCGCUCUCGCUAACCUGGUGCUAUCAAUUCUGCAAUUCUUACAGGCAAUGGUGAGGAAUAAAGGGAAGAAAGAUAAUCGUAUAAAGUAAGCAGGGACAGAAAGAGACUCGUCUCCAACAACAAGAACAAGAGCUGGGCUACCGGGGUUUACAUCGCCAAGUGUAGUUCUCUGAUCUUCAGAGCUCAAAUCAAUUCCAUUCCUGUGCCCCUAAGUGAUUGGUGUCCUGGGUAGAGCAACUGUAACUGUCUUACAUCCUCUGUGCUAAGGGAGUUGGGCCAUAGUACAUAAUUGCUAGCGCAUCUAGUAUCUAAUGAAUGGAAGGCCCUAAUACAUAAUUGGUAGCGCAUUACCCUUCCACUCUGAUAGGUCGGCAAGGGAAGAAAGAUCUGAUUGCACUCCGCCGCAACAAGGCAUCUAAGGCAACUCAAUGGAAUUUGUUUACUCGGUCUCAGGGAAGGGAAUAGAUUUACCAGACUCCACUCGGGAUUUCACUCUUACUUUAACUUGAC
rnacentral:lncRNA from 1 species